UACGGAGGGGGCUAGCGUUGUUCGGAAUUACUGGGCGUAAAGCGCACGUAGGCGGCUAUUUAAGUCAGGGGUGAAAUCCCGGGGCUCAACCCCGGAACUGCCUUUGAUACUGGGUAUCUGGAGGUCGAGAGAGGCGAGUGGAAUUCCGAGUGUAGAGGUGAAAUUCGUAGAUAUUCGGAGGAACACCAGUGGCGAAGGCGGCUCGCUGGCUCGAUACUGACGCUGAGGUGCGAAAGCGUGGGGAGCGAACAGG
rnacentral:rRNA from 1 species